rnacentral:rRNA from 1 species
CCUACGGGUGGCAGCAGUAGGGAAUCUUUCACAAUGGGCGAAAGCCUGAUGGAGCAACGCCGCGUGCAGGAUGAAGGCCUUCGGGUUGUAAACUGCUUUUAUAAGCGAGAAAUAUGAUGGUAACUUAUGAAUAAGGAUCGGCUAACUACGUGCCAGCAGCCGCGGUCAUACGUAGGAUCCGAGCAUUAUCCGGAGUGACUGGGUGUAAAGAGUUGCGUAGGUGGCAUAAUAAGUAGCUAGUGAAAUCGGGUGGCUCAACCAUUCAGACUAUUAGCUAAACUGUUAAGCUCGAGACCGUUAGGGGUAACUGGAAUUUCUAGUGUAGGAGUGAAAUCCGUAGAUAUUAGAAAGAACACCAAUAGCGUAGGCAGGUUACUGGGACGGUUCUGACACUAAGGCACGAAAGCGUAGGGAGCAAACGGGAUUAGAUACCCCAGUAGU